CAGGAGCUUGCUCCUGUGGAUCAGUGGCGAACGGGUGAGUAACACGUGAGCAAUCUGCCCCGAACUCUGGGAUAAGCGUUGGAAACGACGUCUAAUACCGGAUACGACGCGCGAAGGCAUCCUCAGCGCGUGGAAAGAACUUCGGUUCGGGAUGAGCUCGCGGCCUAUCAGCUAGUUGGUGAGGUAACGGCUCACCAAGGCGACGACGGGUAGCCGGCCUGAGAGGGUGACCGGCCACACUGGGACUGAGACACGGCCCAGACUCC
rnacentral:rRNA from 1 species